rnacentral:rRNA from 1 species
CAGCUCCAAUAGCGUAUAUUAAAGUUGUUGCAGUUAAAAAGCUCGUAGUCGGAUUUCGGGUCGGGCCGAGCGGUCUGCCGAUGGGUAUGCACUGUUUGGCGCGGCCUUCUUUCCGGAGACCGCGGCUACUCUUAACUGAGCGGGCGUGGGAGACGGAUCGUUUACUUUGAAAAAAUCAGAGUGUUUCUAGCAGGCAGCUCGCUCUUGCAUAGGUUAGCAUGGGAUAAUUUAAUAGGACUCUGGUGCUAUUUUGUUGGUUUCGAACACCGGAGUAAUGAUUAAAAGGGGCAGUCAGGGGCACUCGUAUUCCGUCGAGAGAGGUGAAAUUCUCAGACCAAUGGAAGACGAACCACUGCGAAAGCAUUUGCCAGGGAUGUUUUCAUCA